rnacentral:rRNA from 1 species
UACGUAGGGUGCAAGCGUUGUCCGGAAUUAUUGGGCGUAAAGGGCUCGUAGGCGGUUUGUCGCGUCGGGAGUGAAAACUCAGGGCUCAACCCUGAGCGUGCUUCCGAUACGGGCAGACUAGAGGUAUGCAGGGGGAGAACGGAAUUCCUGGUGUAGCGGUGAAAUGCGCAGAUAUCAGGAGGAACACCGGUGGCGAAGGCGGGUCUCUGGGCCGAUACUGACGCUGAGGAGCGAAAGCGUGGGGAGCGAACAGG